GUCUACGGCCAUGCCACCCUGAACAAGCCUGAUCUCCUCUGAUCUCGGAAGCUAAGCAGGGUCAGGCCUGGUUAGUACUUGAAUGGGAGACCACCUAGGAAGACCAGGUGCUAUAGGCA
rnacentral:rRNA from 1 species